rnacentral:rRNA from 1 species
UAAGAGUCCGUAGGCUGUUUGGCUAGUCUGCAUGUGAAAUCCCCGGCUCAACCUGGGAACUGCGUUUCGAUACUGCAANRUCUUGAGKCUUGCAUAGGCAGAUCGGAAUUACCGGUGUAGCGGUGAAAUGCGUAAAUAUCUAGAGGAACACCGAUGGCGAAGGCGGUCUGCUGGGCUNUUACUGACGCUGAGGACGAAAGCUUGGGGAGCAAACGGGAUUAGAUACCCCGGUAGUCCUCGCCGUAAACGAUGGAGACUSGGUGUGRGGUGUMUCAMCCCUUUCUGUGCCAAACAAACGNGUUAAUUUUCCCCCCKGGGGAGUACGCCCCCAAGUGUGAAACUCAAGGGAUUUGGCGGGGGAGCACAAA